GUGCUGCCGUCGUGCUGCCCCGGGCCUGUUCCCCCGCCCGUCCGCCGACGCAUCUUUCGGCACGGAUCCUCACAGCUCGGCCUCGGGCUGGUGACAAGAGGCAGCUCCUGGCUGACGGUAGAAAGUAAAUCCCGCUCGAGGCCUGACGCGGCCUCGAAGCCGCGCUCGCACCCGGCUCCCGCCUCCCGAUACCAGCGGGGCUUCGGGAAAUCGAGCAGCCCCUCGCCUUCCCUGCCGGGGGCUCCAGCCCGCGGUGCGCGACGGGACCCCGCCUUGCUGGAAGCACAACUCCCGAGAGCUAACACCUGCCCGCAGCCGUGUCCGCGUGCUCCAGUACGGAGGAACCUGAUUGUGCCCCCGGCUGCAGGAUUUCAUUCUCCCAUUGCAACCACCACCUCGGCUCCGUGCAGGGGACAGCCCAGCCCGCGCUUCCCUGUUCCGCGCCUCCCUGAGGUACCGCAGGGGGCACGGACAUCUCCAGCACCAGGCUAAUUAAUCCUGGAUGUCUUCAACUUGCUGCGUCUCUGGUUUAUAGGCAGCUUUGUGCUUUUCUCCAGUUUGUUUACAGCUCCAGCCUGUGGACAUGUCCUGGAAGUUUCCUAGACUUCUCCAGCUCUGUUUUGGCUCCAGUUUGCUUUCUUCAAGCUAUGACUCAACGUGAAACUGAAGGAAGCAGAUCCCACGGCACGCACUGCUACAGAAAAGCUCUGCAUGUUCUACAGCUGCAGGGAUGGGCUCAGCAGCAUGCCUCUGCUCUGCCUCCACCCACAGCUUUCCUAGCUACCCUGCCAGAGACCUGUGGGCAGUUGGGAUGUGGCUGCAAUGGGAAGCACCCUGGGGAUGGCCAGCAGCAGUACCUUGUCCCGACGGAUAAGCAAGGAGGACUUGGAGCCCAGUGUGGAGAGGAUCCCCACGAUUUCUACUGCAAUGUACCCUGCACCAACGACCACGCUGUGCCUGCAGAGAAGCAAGAAUGCCAUGUGCACAUGUUUGGAGCCUGACAAGCAUUAGAAGACUGGCAGCUUCUCCUGGGCCCAAACCAAGUAGUUCAUCUUGGGUGCCACCACAGAGGGAGCCUUACAGAACAGCCUAUGCAACCUCCCAGGGCAGAGCUGAGACGAGCAAGGUGAUCAGCUGGAGCCAUUGAGAAGCCACCAAGCUCUGGGAUUCACCUCUCCACUGCAUCACCGGGAUGGGAGAUAUCCCACUGUACCUGGGAAGUUCCUCCAGGUCAAAGAACCCAUCACUGGUUAUACCGAGGCUGGCACCUGCAGAGCAACACGGUGAUUUUACCAUGGAUAACUGCAAGAAGCUUCUUGCAGCCACAUCACUUGCUCCCUGCUUGCGCUAUGCGGGUACUCACCGGGAACUUCAGAGUCAGGAGGGACCGAUGGGCGCCCACCUGUCGCAAUGAGGAUGUGAGGAGCCGUGUACUUCUUCCCAUUGACUUCAAUGGUGGGCUCUGGAUCAGAGGUGAACUUGCCGUAGCCACGGAUGAUGUCAAUGCGAGCCUGUGGAGCAACAGCAGGAAGCCCAGGUAUUGCAUCAGCAGCAGAUACAUACAGAAAAUAGACAGAAAGGACUGCUUCCACACCAGGCUUAGGGAAUAAAAGCAUCCACACCUUG